CCGAUUUGUUUCUUCUCCUCCCCCUUGCCGCCGAAACCCUAAGAACCACACUCCGUCCACCACACGAAGCGGUCCAUUAAGCCAAAACCCGACUUUAGAGCCCUCAUAAUAUCGAUAUAGCCUUCUAGAACCCCAAUUCGGGAUUAAGAUCUCAAAAAGAGCCUCAAAACUCACCUAAAUCUACCCCCCCUGUUUCGACCUCUUCGUAUCUAUGAACUUUGACCACCACCAGGGUGGUCGGGAACCUUAAACGACCUAAACCUACUCCCCUGUCACUUUAUGACCUCGUAAACGCUCUCCUAAUGACCACACAAACUUCUACAAUUCGGAUAACCCUAAACCUUCAACUACACGACGCUACCGAGGCCGGCGACGACGUAGACUCCGACAGAACUCACCAAGGAAGAGGCUCAAAUCUCCUGGCUGGAAGGUAUUUGAAUUGUACGAAUGAAGAGGAGAGACUACAGUUGGAGUUGACGUGUUUUCUGGGAAUCGGAGGUCCUUAAUCCUUCUUGAUGUAUUGAGACCCCUGUUGACCAAGCUUUCGGCGGGAUAAUAACAAAUUAAGGUUAGAACCCUAAUAUCUUUUGGGGCGAUCUAGACCAUUGAUAGGGUCCAGAUCUAAGGGUUCAUACUUGGCGGCGCUGGAGUUGUUACAUAGCUAGGGUUUGCCAUUACAAAAAAUAUUUUGGCUAAUUGGGCCUCGUUCUAGCUGAUGGGUUGGGUAUGCUGUGGUAACAGGUUAAUGGGCUGUAAAUAAAAAACUGUGUUGAUGGACUUUAAUAGGGACUGAUUGGAUUUAAGUAUUUUGAGUUUUCAAGGCUUCGAUAAAAAUUGAAUUCAAAAACUCAAAAGGAACAUGUAUGAUCGUUAAGCCCAAAUACAAUUGUUUGCAGUUUCUUGAA